rnacentral:lncRNA from 1 species
UCAAACGAUGGGGCCACCCCCAGUGCGAGGCCCCGGUGAAUCUCCCCCCACGCCCGGAGGAACGGGAAGGAGGAGGAGGCGUCGAGGAUGUUCUCGCAGGUGAGCACUCCCACAGCAAUCCCGCCACACUGGAACUUUGUCACCUGUGAACACACAAUGCCAGUCAACGCUUACAGCCAGUCAACACUCUUUUAGUCAACAGAAUCAACGGAGCUACUUGCCUGGAUUUUUAGCAGCGGCGCGUUGGCGGGAUCUCUGACCCUGGGUUCCGGGUAGAGCUCGUGCUCGAUGGGGCACUGCCGGGCGUCGCCCAAGGCUGUGUUAGCCAUCGCCGCCACCACCAUGACGCCCGCGUCGUUGCAGUGGAGCUCCUGGAUCGUUGUUAACCGCUCUCGCCGCCGCAUUCUCCCCGCCAGAGGGUAGUAUGGAACGAGCAACCGUGACAGAGACUCCCUCAUGCUGCAAACCAGGCGCUGGAACUCCUCUUCGUCGUGGUUAUCGAUCCGAGGGCUCUUCUGUUCUUGAUCUUCUUCUUCUUCUUCCUGGUCAUCGUGCUGCUUGAGAGCUGAAGAUCCCGGGGCGGAGAAGUAGAACACUUGCUUGAUGUAGCGCUCAAACGAAAAGUAGCUCUGGAAGUUGGAGAGCGCGAGAACGCAGGGCUGCCGGGUCGGGAUCUGGGGAACUACAGUCGACACGGACACUGACCUUACCGAGCUUAUGGACGCUACCAUGUCGAGCACUCGAAGUCACUUCAAGACCUCGCCCACGAGCCCCUCGUGCUUUAGAACUAAUCGACUAUGUUGACCAAUAAACUUGCCCACAUUUCGAGACGGGCGACUGGCGAUUUACGUUCACAAAGGUGCGAUUGAAUUCUAUGGUUGCAGCCCUAGUUUUUUUUGUUAGAAGGAGCGAUGGGCUGGGGCUGGGGAGUUCUUGGCCAAGUCCCUAGAUGGGAGAUAUGGCGGGCAUCUGGGGUAUGGGCACUCUGGGAAGUUUGGAACCACAACUACUUCGAGGAGCAGAGCGCUUGGAUUUCAGCGAUCAUGGUAAAUUGGUGGAGGCUCACAUUGGCUGCUGUUUGCUUGAGGGAUGCAUUGCUCCAGAAACACAGAAAAAACAAGGAGGCUCUGGCAGUUUGGUGAUGACAAUGGACCCUGUGCUACAGAGUAGAGCAUGAGGGAAAUGUGAAGUGGAAAUGGAGACCACUUGCCACGGUAAUAAAAGAGGCAUGACAAAGCGAUUUGGCAUUGGAUGUGUUGUGGAGGCGACGACCACAGCAGCUACAGUUGGAAGGCAGCGAUCGCCAGUAGGUGGAGGACAGCAAGAUGGCUUUGUUGAGUGAACAGCACUAAGGGUGAUUCACUUUUGUAUUAGUCCCUAAGGGACACAGAGUAAUGUACAUAUAACUUGCAUCGACGCUGGCUGUGGUGGUGAUCAAAACUAGUUUCACUGGGCUGAUUGAGGGGCCCAUCAACAGCAUGAUCACAAGGAUGAUCAAGGGACCAAUCAACAGCAUGAUCACAGGGAUGAUCGAGGGACCAGUCACGGAGCUGGUCUAUGGCGUGAUCUGAGAGACGGGGCGUGGUUCUCAGGUAUGAAACGAAAAUGUGAGAUUCGAUUUAAUUCUUUGAUCCAGGCUUGGGGAACUGGCAACGACCAUGGAUCCAAGCCCAAGCUGUCGCUGACGAGUUCUCAGAACUUUAAGCUUUAAAGAAACAUGUCACUGAGUAGAGAACACUUUCCAGUUUAGGAAACAAUGAUAAUAAUUUAUAACUAUCCUUACAGCAAACUUGAAUUUCUUGGUCGGCUUGCAAAUGUGCAUUGAGGUCUAGCUGACGUGAAAAGGCUGAAGGCAAUGCAUCCUUUGCGGUAGUACAUGUUAUCUUCCACUGUUCACCGAGCCUGUGGAAGCCACCAUGUCUGUUUGAUCCAAUGCACUCGAAAUGAGCUCACGACCUCGCCAGUGCUUCAGGAUUAUGUUGACCAAAGUUGACAAUACUUCCAGACUUUUUCGUUUAUUGGGCUGGACUGCGAUUAAGGAACGCCCUAGACCGAGAAGCAUUCUUUGUCCAUACAAGGGUCAGGCAAAUGGUCAUGGUUCCUAGUUUUCUUUCUUGGAAGGGAGGGAGCGGGCGGAGUUCUUUGCCAAGUCCGUGCUCUAGCGGCACUGGUGAUCAAAGUUAGUAUACCCACUGGCGAUGGGUUGGGGCUGGGACGCGGCGAAGUUCUUGGCGAAGUCUCUGCUCGUAUCGAUGCUGGCGGGGAUGGUGAUCAAAUUUAGUUUCGAGGGACCGGUCACCAGGAUGAUCGAGGACCCGGUCGACAGGACGAUCACAGGGAUGAUCGAGGGGCCGAUCAACAGGAUGAUCACAGGGACGAUCCGGGGACCAGUCACGGAGCUGGUCUAUGGCCCGAUCCGAGAAACGGCCGCGUGGUUCGCACGGAUGUUUCCUCGCAUCGCAAAGGUAUGGAACGAAAAUGUGAUUCUUUUCCUUCAUAGGUGCCAAGAUCUGGAGAGCCCGCCCCCACCGGCAACGAUGCUCAUCGAUCCAAGCCCAAGCUCCCGCUGCCGGAGCUUGGCAAGGGAAAGGAGGUGCCGUCCCGGACGAGCCAAGCCUUCAUGAGGGUUCCGUGUUCCAGGAUGUGCACCGCUCGUGCCGCCGAGUCCUCUCACUCUCCUUGACGAUGGCCUCUGUCCUUUCUUUCCUCUCUCACGGACGGAUCGACACUCGUUCUUAGUUUCUCUCCCUCUCGGAUCGCAUUCUUGUUUUGCUCGAGAAUCCGAGAUUCUUGUAUCUACUCUGUUCCGAUCGAUGAAACGAUCGUUGAAACGAAUUUACUUGCUUUGCCUCGAAUCUCUACGAGAACCCUUCAUUCCAAGGUGGCGAACUUGGCGAGGAGCUCACUUCGCAGCAACCUCUUCAUUUCAUCCUCGAGGAGCAUGACCACAAUGCGGCGCUCUCGCGUCCCUCCCUGGGCAGUGGGAAGAAACACCACCACCCCGUUGCCAUACCACGGCUCCAGCACCAGCGAGAAGUGGGCGGGCCGCCCCCACCCAAAGUCAACGUCGUAGACGGGGAAGGUGACCAGGUCAACGGAGUAGACCGCCAUCUCGGCCCUCAUGUUGACCGCGAUCUCCUUGCGCCCGGGGCUGCCGAUUCCUUCCAGCUCCAUCCAGUCAAUGGUGGAUUGGAAUCGCUCGUGGGUGAUGGCCCGGAUGUCGUCGUGGACGAGGCGAGCGGCCAAGGAGAUGUGCUUAUUCUUGAGGUCGCGCGCCGGACACGGGAGGACGAGGGUCAUGGCGGAGGUGCCGCAGUACUCGUCCGGGAUUGGGGGAUGCCGCCGGUUCUUGCCGGCCUUGGCGGAGCCCGAGUAGACGAAUGUGGCGAUGGCGGUGUCGACGAGAUCCCGCGCCUCGGUGAUGGAUUUCCAGACGAGCGCCGCGGCGGCCUCGAAGGAUGUCGGGAAGCUGCCGUAGGAGAAUGGGCCGGAUGCGAUCUCGUGCCUAAGAUGCGAGAGCUGGAGCUCGCUCAUGUGGAAUGCCCGGACGUGGUAUUUGGGAGAGAUAUCCUCCCCGGACUUUCCACUGUGAUCCUGGGCCAGGGACGGUGCCACCGCGACGUAGUCCCGGAUGGGCAUCUUGAUGCUGGGGGGAUCUCGGGCCCUGAGGAUGCUGGAGUCGAAUGAUGGCGGUGGAUUCGGCGGUGGCAAUCCCUGAUGGAUAUCCGACCAGGCCUUGAAGAACGCAAAGAUGGACGAGCCGUCGGUGACAAUGUGGGUGGUGACGAGGCCGAGGGCGAUCCCACCACACCGGAACUUGGUGACCUGCAAACACGGUCAGAAGAGGUCAACGUAAAGUCUCCGGACUUGCCUGGACUUUGAGCUGUGGGAAGUUCUCGUGAUCCGUGAUCUCGGUCUGUGCCGGGUUGAGCUCAUGCUCGAUUGAGCAGUGCUUCAUGGAAUCGCCCCAGUCGUGGAAGCUCGCAUUGGCAAAUGCCACCACAAAUUCGACGCCUUGGUCGUUGCACUCGAGAACCGGGCGGUCGAGACCGGCGAUCCGGGGCCUCCCUGCUAUUGGGUAGUAUGGAACGAGAACCUGAGACAAGGAUACUUUUAAGCUCGUCACCAAUCGAUCGAAGGAGCCUGGUGACGAAUCCACUGCUUCUGGGAAAUAGUAGACUUGCUUGAGAUAGUUCUCGGACAGGAGCUGGAUCUGAAAGUUGCAAAGCCAGAGAGUACAAGGCUGGCGCGUUGGAAUCACUGGGACGAUCGUGCAGACGGAGGCUACAUGAACCACAUUGCACAUGAUUGUUCUUCUAGCGCAUGAUUUGAAGAGAGUAGCCUAGAAACACACAAGAGGAAUUGUCUGGUCUAAAAGUUCGCAAGCAUGUGUAACUUUUAAUGCUAUGGCAGGGAGAAGGUGGUAACUUCUUUUCAUCAACUCACAGAACAAAAGAUUUGGUGGGCGGAUGCGUUCGAUAGGCUUUUGCAGAUCUCUGGUGGUUUGUCACUUUUGUUACAAUAUGGCGUGCACUAGAAGAAAAAGGGUAGAAGUAGAAAAGAGGACACGUGUCAGUGUCUUAUUGGUACAUAUAGGAUAGCAGUAUCAGAAAUAUUUCACGAACUGUAUGCCAGGGAUCGGGCUUCAUGCCCAUAGCAAUGGCUGAUGUCAUGGGCAGAAUGGUGAUAAUGUGCAAUUUGGUUCUUUUGCCAUGCCCAACAAGAACAAGGGGUGAGAACAUAGUGCUAUGGAGAGCAAUUUUGUCUACAACUUGUUUGCUACACCGGGGUGGCGAACUUGAGGAAGAACUGGUGCUCAAGUAACUUCUUCAUCUGGUUCUCGGGCAGCCGAAUCGCCAGAUGCCGGUCUCGUCCGCCAUCUCGAGUGGGAAGAAGAAUGGCGGCUCCACUGCCCGGCUCGGCAUCCAAGACGAAGGAGAAAUGUCGCGGCCUCCCCCAUCCAAAGUCGAGCUCGUAGAUCGGGAAUGCCGUGAGGCUGUUGCUGUUGAUCGCUCUCCCCGACCACCUUGGCAGCGGGAAGUUGUCGUCCACGAAGAUCCCGGCCCGGAGGUGGAGCUCCAUCCAGUCGAUGGCGGACUGGAUGCGCUCCUGGGUGGCGGAAUGGAUAUCGUCGCGGAGGAGCUUGGCGGCGUGGGAGAUGUGGUUCUUGCGUAUCUCGCCCACGGGAGCAGCCAGGCAGGGGAUGUGAGCGGAGCUGCCGCAGUAGUGGCACGGGAUCUCGGGGCUCCAGCGCUUGGGUCCUUUGGUGGAGAGCGCGUAGAUGUAAGUCAUGCUCUCCGAAUCGUCCAGGUCUUUGACGUCCGCGGCGCACUUCCAGAUCAUGGCGGAGAUGGCCUCGAACGAGCUCGGCGGCGGCUCGUCACGAGAGGAGAAGAAUCUCCCGCGCUGGACCUCGGCGACGAGCUCGCGGACUCGAUCGGGGGCGAUGUGGAAGAGCCUCUGGCGGUCGGGGAUGGCGUCGUGGGAGGAUUUGGCCAUGGCUUCCACCGUGCUUGCUGGCGGUGGGGCGACGACGUAGUCGCGGACGGGGAGAUUGACCUGCGGAGGAUCGCGGGGCUUGAGCACGCUGGAAUCAAACGAUGGGGCCACCGCCAGUGCGAGGCCCCGGUGGAUCUCCCCCCACGCCCGGAGGAACGGGAAGGAGGAGGAGGCGUCGAGGAUGUUCUCACAGGUGAGCACUCCCACAGCAAUCCCGCCACACUGGAACUUUGUCACCUGUGAACACACAAUGCCAGUCAACGCUUACAGCCAGUCAACACUCUUUUAGUCAACAGAAUCAACACUUGCCUGGAUUUUUAGCAGCGGCGCGUUGGCGGGAGCUCUGACCCUGGGUUCCGGGUAGAGCUCGUGCUCGAUGGGGCACUGCCGGGCGUCGCCCAAGGCUGUGUUAGCCAUCGCCGCCACCACCAUGACGCCCGCGUCGUUGCAGUGGAGCUCCUGGAUCGUUGUUAACCGCUCUCGCCGCCGCAUUCUCCCCGCCAGAGGGUAGUAUGGAACGAGCAACCGCGACAGAGACUCCCUCAUGCUGCAAACCAGGCGCUGGAACUCCUCUUCGUCGUGGUUAUCGAUCCGAGGGCUCUUCUGUUCUUGAUCUUCUUCUUCUUCUUCCUGGUCAUCGUGCUGCUUGAGAGCUGAAGAUCCCGGGGCGGAGAAGUAGAACACUUGCUUGAUGUAGCGCUCAAACGAAAAGUAGCUCUGGAAGUUGGAGAGCGCGAGAACGCAGGGCUGCCGGGUCGGGAUCUGGGGAACUACAGUCGACACAGACACUAAUCUUACCGAGCUUAUGGACGCAACCAUGUCGUUGAUCCAAUCUACUCGGAGCUCACGACCUUGCCCACGAGCUCCUCGUGCUUUAGAACUAAUCGCUUAUGUUGACCAAUAAAGUUGACCACGUUCGAGACUUGUCUUCCA